rnacentral:rRNA from 1 species
UACGAAGGGGGCUAGCGUUGUUCGGAAUUACUGGGCGUAAAGCGUAUGUAGGCGGAUCGUUAAGUCGGGGGGUGAAAUCCCGAGGCUCAACCUCGGAACUGCCUUCGAUACUGGCGAUCUUCGAGUCCGGGAGAGGUGAGUGGAACUCCGAGUGUAGAGGUGAAAUUCGUAGAUAUUCGGAAGAACACCAGUGGCGAAGGCGAGUUCCUGGACAGUGACUGACGCUGAGGCACGAAGGCCAGGGGAGCAAACGGG